CGUUAUAUGAAAAUAAGACGGGAGGAAAACUAAACCCUGGCAAAAGAGCUAUACCUGUAAUGUCAACUGAGUCUAUCUUGAAUAUACUGGCCAAGCAACACAAGGAAUUUAUGAUGGAUCUCUGGAAGGUAUUCAACUGCAGCUUCGCACCGGAAAUAUAUGCCAUCGUGUUGAGUAUCGAAGAAGAUUUAUUUUCAUUUCUUGACGCCGUGAGGAGUAAUGCUCGCCUUCUCUUCUCUGCCUGCAAAGGAGGAAAGGCCCGUCGAAAGUGCCCGCUCGGGCAGUGGAGGGGAACAGGCAGGCUCGCCACUGACUGGGACUGCCGGUGUAAUGCCUCUAGACGACUCGUUAGCAAUGGUAAAGGAAAGGCGUGGGACACCUCGGCGAUAUGAACGUAGCAAAAGCAGCUCAAGAGGCUAGCCUCUUCUCAAAAGGAGACCCCUAAGAAGUAAAUAUGCAUGUCAUCGGAGCAACGUGGCAUCCACAAAUCUGCUAAACCACAUAUUUAAAGCAAAUCUGUCAUCCAUGGAUGUCACAGCUUUAAAGCCGGUAAAUCACCCGCUGUUUCGGGUGCCGUUCUCUCUGCCAUUCCUUCACAAAAGGGUGCUGGGGAAGGUAGUCGAACAUUCUGUAGAAACAAGAUCAUAUCAACGUAGAUAGCACUUCAACCUUUAUAAAUAGGCGUAGAAAGGCGGUUUCAAUUGUAUCUAUUUGUAACGGUAGGGCGAUAAAUCUUGUGUCGGAUGUAGUCCUCCCAGGAGGUUUCGUUUCAUGAUCGUGGAUACAUUCAUUUCAAGUCGCAAUUCGAUGGCUUUUAUGUACCAAUGUAUCGUAACAGGGCGAAAAACAACUGGGACAAAUAUGUAAUAGCCUUGGAUCGGUCCCCAAUUAAACUCUUAGUACACGAGUGACGGUCGCGAUAGCUGAGUGGUUAGCAUUGCCAACCAACAUCAAAAAGUCAUCAUGGGAAUGUCCAACAAUAAAUAAAUAAAAGCA